UUUGAUGUUUUGGUGUAAUAAACGAACAUAAAAAAAAAAAAUCUGUUCUUAUCAGUUUAAUAUCUGAUACGUCCUCUACCCGAGGACUAUAUAUUAAUCUGAUUUUUGAACAGAGACGGAAGAGGGCUGUUCCGUCCAUCACGAUCGAACCCGGUAUUGCAGUGACUCCAGGAACGGGUGCACAUCC